AAGUCGUAACAAGGUCUCCGUUGGUGAACCAGCGGAGGGAUCAUUACCGAGUUUACAACUCCCAAACCCCUGUGAACAUACCUUAUGUUGCCUCGGCGGAUCAGCCCGCGCCCCGUAAAAAGGGACGGCCCGCCGCAGGAACCCUAAACUCUGUUUUUAGUGGAACUUCUGAGUAUAAAAAACAAAUAAAUCAAAACUUUCAACAACGGAUCUCCUGGUUCUGGCAUCGAUGAAGAACGCAGCAAAAUGCGAUAAGUAAUGUGAAUUGCAGAAUUCAGUGAAUCAUCGAAUCUUUGAACGCACAUUGCGCCCGCCAGUAUUCUGGCGGGCAUGCCUGUUCGAGCGUCAUUACAACCCUCAGGCCCCCGGGCCUGGCGUUGGGAUCGGCGGAGCCCCCGUGGGCACACGCCGUCCUCCAAAUACAGUGGCGGUCCCGCCGCAGCUUCCAUUGCGUAGUAGCUAACACCUCGCAACUGGAGAGCGGCGCGGCCACGCCGUAAAACACCCAACUUCUGAAUGUUGACCUCGGAUCAGGUAGGAAUACCCGCUGAACUUAA
rnacentral:rRNA from 1 species